rnacentral:snRNA from 1 species
AUAUUACAUUGGUUUUUGGCACAAGGGGAUAGAAUAGGAGCUUGUUUUGUCAGCUCCGCGCAUCACCCUGGCAGUGCAGUACUUGCAGGGA